AACGCAUUAAGUUCCCCGCCUGGGGAGUACGGCCGCAAGGCUAAAACUCAAAGGAAUUGACGGGGGCCCGCACAAGCGGCGGAGCAUGCGGAUUAAUUCGAUGCAACGCGAAGAACCUUACCAAGGCUUGACAUAUACGAGAACGCGCUGGAGACAGCGAACUCUUUGGACACUCGUAUACAGGUGGUGCAUGGUUGUCGUCAGCUCGUGUCGUGAGAUGUUGGGUUAAGUCCCGCAACGAGCGCAACCCUCGUCCUAUGUUGCCAGCACGUCAUGGUGGGAACUCAUGGGAUACUGCCGGGGUCAACUCGGAGGAAGGUGGGGAUGAGGUCAAAUCAUCAUGCCCCUUAUGUCUUGGGCUUCACGCAUGCUACAAUGGCCGGUACAAUGGGCUGCGAUACCGCAAGGUGGAGCGAAUCCCAAAAAGCCGGUCUCAGUUCGGAUUGAGGUCUGCAACUCGACCUCAUGAAGUCGGAGUCGCUAGUAAUCGCAGAUCAGCAACGCUGCGGUGAAUACGUUCCCGGGCCUUGUACACACCGCCCGUCAAGUCAUGAAAGUCGGUAACACCCGAAGCCGGUGGCCUAACCUUUUGGAGGGAGCCGUCGAAGGUGGGAUCGGUGAUUAGGACUAAGUCGUAACAAGGUAGCCGUAAGCUUGGAUCCCGGG
rnacentral:rRNA from 1 species